UGCGUGUGUAUAGUUGUUACAGUGGGCUCCAGACUCGUGAAGAGUAGAGCCAGCGGGUCAGCGGGCCAGCUGGCCGUGCAUUGCUACUGCCACCUGAGACGUUCAGGGCAGUCAGGACCCCCUCUCCCCGACCACCAGGGCAAACAAGUCACCUAGACAGCAGCAAGCGAAGCCAAAGGGAUGUCACGCCAUAUGACGUGCUAACAGACAUAAGAAAUGCGGAUGGAUCACUUAGGGUUUCAUCACCAGAAGGCCCACCAGCAACAACAGAUACUGACAGGAACUUUGCACGUGGUUACUAGAUCAGGCCUGAGCUCCCAAAAGGGUCCGCCCUCGCCAACAUAACAACUGAUCCGACACAAAUCGCAAGAAGAAAGGUGAUGUGAUCAGUAGGUACUAGAUCCCAUCCCUUCGGUGGAACUCCCAGAGCUGCAAACCCCCCCCAAAGGGGGGCCCAAAAGUCAACAACAACUCGUUCAAUUGCUCCUUCUGUAAGGCAAGGGCCAGGGGGGUAUCAGCGCCGGGUCGGACUUAAUUGCUGCAGCCAUAUAUCGCCGUAGUAGUAGCAGGCAAUACAGCGAGCCCCAGACGCAAAGGAAGAUCGUGGGCACCGAGCGCAAAUCCAUGCGGCAGGGUGCCAUCCUGCUUCGGAAUACCCAUGACAGUUUAGUCGCAUUCCUCUAUAUUGAAGCCCCAGGUAUCUAUCGGGACAUCCCCCCGAGUAAGGGGACGGGGAAGGGGAAGUUCAUUUGCGCCGCGAGCGGCUCUGCUGGUGGCAGUGUUUAUGAACGGAGCCGCUCAGACCGCAGGUACCAUCCCAAGCGGCUGAGCGGCUGAGGACGGCAGGCGUCGUUCGGCACCUUGUUCGGCACCUUGUUCGGCAGGCGUCGUUCGGCACCAUAUAGCCACUAUCACAACUUGCAGACUCAACAUCAUAACAAUGACCGAACCGGGUUAACCCGGUCGGUCUAUUUACCUUCAAUAACUUUUCUGAGAACAAAGACAUCAAAAUGGCUCGCAACAGUUCAACGGAUCAGGCCGCCGGUGUGACGGCGGAACGAUCUGAAGCAACCAUAUCAAUUUCCCUUCUUAGGGAAAUUACGAAGAUGGAGCAACCUUUUGGCAAACUUCGAUCGCUGGCAAUGAGAGCAAUCUUUCAAGGAAACUACCUAGAGAACAGAAAGCAGGUAAUAGACAUUAUGGCAGGACCGAUUGGACACCGAAUAGUGCAGACAGUACAACAGGAGCUAAAAGCUCCUUAUGUUUUCGUCGGAGAACCGGUCGCUUGGGAAGCUCGCAACGACGAAGGAGUCGUUGGACAGAUCAACGUCUACGUACCGGAGGAGUGGAUUACGCCCGUAAAAAACUUAGCGGACCAUUGCGGACGAAUCAAUCUAGCAGAUCUCCAUCUAGGAGAUUACCACAUUCAAGAUCUUGUAGUAGACAUAGUGGGGGCAUCUGCCCAAUACUUCAGACUGACAGGAUUACCUCCGGCAUUUCCUCAGAAAUGCCUAUUCUGGCUUAUUGCGGAAGCCUACGGCUUUGACGUAGAUGAAUAUGGAAAGAAAUGGGGGAUAGUCGAGGCUAAUCUCACUACAGCCGUGGUGUGGGUGCGAUGGGAUCAGCCCGCAUUACCCGCCAGGAUGAAUAUUUUCUCCAUUGAGGAGGAUGGCCGGCGGAUUCAUAGGGGAGCGUGGAGAGCGCAACACACGUAUUACGACACACAGACUCCGGCUUUGCCCCGACCCCCCAAGAUUCAACAACGAAACCGCUUGAUACCGAAUCUCCCGCCGCCCAUUUCGGCGGCGGCAGUCAUCGCGGCGCGAGCACGGCCAAAUCUAGCGACGCCAGCUGUGGGUGAGGUAGGAGGAUCAAGUAAUGCACGUCAACCCAUGGCUACUGGACAGCCCCAGACAAUCCAGCAAACAACUCGACAACAGCAGAUGCAAAAUCGAGUAUCCAACGAGGAGGCAGCAGAAAUGGCAGGCAGAGCAGCAGCCGCCGUUGUACGAAGACAAGUACAACAACAGCAGCAACAGCAACAACAGCAACAGCAACAACAGACACAGCAACAGCAACAGCAAACACAGCAGCAACAACAGCAACAGCAACAACAACGACAGAACCAGCAACCACAACAGCAACAGCAACAGAUACAGCAACAGCCGCCACAGCAGCAGCAGCGACAACAGCAGCAGCUCUCAUACACAACCACCAAUCAACCGGGACUACCGACAUCAGCUUCUAUCCCCAAAACUCACUCCAUCACGCACCCCUUACUUGGCCAACCGAUUCAAGAUGUGGCCGGAAAUAGGCCAGAUGAACAGCAAUGGCAAUUACAAAACAGACGGACGCAUCGUGGAAACCCAAUUCUGCCCACCGACCAACCUGUGCUGGGCAAGCAUGCGGACAAACCAACGUCACGCACGUCAUCUCCAGGGAUCAGUCCCCAACACAAGAGGAGGGACUCGGUAAUAAGCCCGCCCAGGUUUCAUGUUCUUCCACAUGACGACCCGGGUGGCCUCAUGCAAGUCGGCGAGGAGGAGGAAGUGAGAAAUAUAGUAGUAGUCCGCGGAAAUGGGGAUACGGAAAUACCCCCUAGGUAAAUGGGGCGACGGACAAGAUGCAGGAGGCCUAAUAAUAGACCCCUUCGCAUAGCGUCCCAUAAUGUAGCAGGUUUAUUCACGCAUUCGGCAUUUACUCGUAUCCAUGCUGCGGCUAGAGUAUGGGCCCAACAUAGGUUAGAUGUCAUUUGUUUACAGGAGACACAUCAUAUGGGAGAUGGAGACCUGACAAUUCUCACUAGAGAAUUGCAAUUCGCGGCUCAGAAAAUAGGGAUACCGGGAUGGGAUAUAAUAGCACAAUCCCCCACGACCAAUGCCCGGACGGCUGGAGUGUUAGUGCUAGUGCGCAAAGAUCUUUAUCGCGACUUUAAAAUAAUACAAACACCGGCACGACUACUUCCGGCUAACAUUCCCCAAGGCCGUAGCGCGUCGGUUUCGUUCACGUGGUGUGGUCACCGUAUUCAUUUGAUUAAUUUGUACCUCAUGACAUCUAGUUACUCGAUAGAUCAGAGGAAGGCGUGUGUGCAUUCUCUUGGCGAUGUGGUAAAUAGGAU
rnacentral:lncRNA from 1 species